UUUUUUUUUUGAGACCGAGUCUCGCUCUGUCAACCAGGCUGGAGUGCAAUGGGGUGAUCUCGGCUCACUGCAACCUCUGCCUCCCGAGUUGAAGCAAUUCUCCUGCCUCUGCCUUCAAAAUAGCUGGGACUACAGGUGCGCACCACCAUGCCUGGCUAAUUUUUGUGUUUUUUAAGUAAAGAGGGGGUUUUGCCAUGUUGGCCAGGUUGGUCUCGAA
rnacentral:lncRNA from 10 species